rnacentral:rRNA from 1 species
GCUUGUGACCAUACCUUCUUGUCAAUUCCCAAUCUUGUCAGUUCUCGGAAACUAAGCAGGGGUGGGCCUGGUUAAUGUUUGGAUGGUAGACCACUAGGAAGUGGGGCGGCAGUGGAU